rnacentral:rRNA from 1 species
AGGCCCAGCUUGCUGGGUACUCGAGUGGCGAACGGGUGAGUAACACGUGGGUGAUCUGCCCUGAACUCUGGGAUAAGCCUGGGAAACUGGGUCUAAUACCGGAUAUGACCUUGGAGUGCAUGCUCUGGGGUGGAAAGCUUUUGCGGUUCAGGAUGGGCCCGCGGCCUAUCAGCUUGUUGGUGGGGUAAUGGCCUACCAAGGCGACGACGGGUAGCCGACCUGAGAGGGUGAUCGGCCACACUGGGACUGAGACACGGCCCAGACUCCUACGGGAGGCAGCAGUGGGGAAUAUUGCACAAUGGGCGCAAGCCUGAUGCAGCGACGCCGCGUGAGGGAUGACGGCCUUCGGGUUGUAAACCUCUUUCACCAGGGACGAAGCGUGAGUGACGGUACCUGGAGAAGAAGCACCGGCCAACUACGUGCCAGCAGCCGCGGUAAUACGUAGGGUGCGAGCGUUGUCCGGAAUUACUGGGCGUAAAGAGCUCGUAGGCGGUUUGUCGCGUCGUCUGUGAAAUUCUGCAACUCAAUUGUAGGCGUGCAGGCGAUACGGGCAGACUUGAGUACUACAGGGGAGACUGGAAUUCCUGGUGUAGCGGUGAAAUGCGCAGAUAU